rnacentral:rRNA from 1 species
UACGUAGGGGGCAAGCGUUGUCCGGAUUCAUUGGGCGUAAAGAGCGUGUAGGCGGCCAGGUAGGUCGGUUGUGAAAACUGGAGGCUCAACCUUCAGACGUCGACCGAAACCAUCUGGCUAGAGUCCGGGAGAGGUGAGUGGAAUUCCUAGUGUAGAGGUGAAAUUCGUAGAUAUUAGGAAGAACACCAGUGGCGAAGGCGGCUCACUGGCCCGGUACUGACGCUGAGGCGCGAAAGCGUGGGGAGCAAACAGG